UACCAGCACCCCGAGUGGUCGGGACGAUUAUUGGGCCUAAAGCAUCCGUAGCCGGUUCUUCAAGUCUUCCGUUAAAUCCAGCCGCUCAACGGAUGGGCUGCGGAAGAUACUAAAGGACUAGGAGGCGGGAGAGGCAAGCGGUACUCAGUGGGUAGGGGUAAAAUCCUUUGAUCCAUUGAAGACCACCAGUGGCGAAGGCGGCUUGCCAGAACGCGCUCGACGGUGAGGGAUGAAAGCUGGGGGAG
rnacentral:rRNA from 1 species